rnacentral:rRNA from 1 species
AUUGAACGCUGGCGGCAUGCCUUACACAUGCAAGUCGAACGGCAGCGGGCCUUCGGGUGCCGGCGAGUGGCGAACGGGUGAGUAAUGCAUCGGAACGUGCCAUUGAGUGGGGGAUAACGUAGCGAAAGUUGCGCUAAUACCGCAUAUUCUGUGAGCAGGAAAGCAGGGGACCGCAAGGCCUUGCGCUCUUUGAGCGGCCGAUGUCAGAUUAGCUAGUUGGUGAGGUAAAGGCUUACCUAGGCGACGAUCCGUAGCUGGUCUGAGAGGAUGAUCAGCCACACUGGAACUGAGACACGGUCCAGACUCCUACGGGAGGCAGCAGUGGGGAAUAUUGGACAAUGGGCGAAAGCCUGAUCCAGCCAUGCCGCGUGUGUGAAGAAGGCCUUCGGGUUGUUAAAGGCACUUUAAGCGGGGAGGAAGGGCGUUCUGGCUAAUAUCCAGGAGCAUUGACGUUACCCGCAGAAUAAGACACCGGCUAACU